rnacentral:ncRNA from 1 species
AGCUUCUCAACGGGGUGCUCUUCGGGGCUGAGAGGCUAGCGCCAACCCGCCGAACCUGAUCCGGAUUAUGCCGGCGGAGGGAUUGAGAGACGGCGCUUC